rnacentral:tRNA from 1 species
GGGAAUAUAGCUCAGUAGUAGAGCACUUACCUAACAUGUGCCAAGUCCUGGGUUCAAUUCCCAGUACUGCAA